rnacentral:rRNA from 1 species
CUUAACUCUGGGACUGCUUUUGAAACUGUCAGACUGGAGUGCAGGAGAGGUAAGCGGAAUUCCUAGUGUAGCGGUGAAAUGCGUAGAUAUUAGGAGGAACAUCAGUGGCGAAGGCGGCUUACUGGACUGAAACUGACACUGAGGCACGAAAGCGUGGGGAGCAAACAGGAUUAGAUACCCUGGUAGUCCGCGCCGUAAACGAUGAAUACUAGGUGUCGGGGCCGUAGAGGCUUCGGUGCCACAGCCAACGCAGUAAGUAUUCCACCUGGGGAGU